rnacentral:rRNA from 1 species
AACGAACGCUGGCGGCAGGCCUAACACAUGCAAGUCGAGCGAGGACUCCGUAUCUAGCGGCGGACGGGCGCGUCACGCGUGGGAAUGUUCCCUUCUCUACGGAAUAGCCCUGGGAAACUGGGCGUAAUACCGUAUACGACCUAUUGGGGCAAGGUUUAUUGGAGCAGAAUCAUCCCUAGUGGGAUUACGUAGUUGGUGGGGUAAUGGCAUACCAAGCCGUCGAUCCAUAGAUGGGUUGAGAGGAUGAUCAGCAACACUGGGGCUGGGAAACGGCCGAGACUCCUACGGGAGGGAGGAGUGGGGAAUCUUAGAACAUGGGGGCAACCAUGAACGUGCCAGGACGGGUGAGUGAUGAAGGCAGUGAGGUUGGAAAGCGAGUUCAGCUGGGAAGGUAAUGACGGUACCAGCAGAAGAAGCCCCGGCUAACUCCGUG